rnacentral:ncRNA from 1 species
UUGUUUGCCCGGAAGAGGAGUAGUAGAAACGAACGCAUUUCAGAGAGCGCACGGUGCUGUGAGUGUGCAUGCGGAAAAUUCGAACUUACCUUGGAGCAAGAUCAAAUGAUCCGGUUAAAGACCGUUAUUUCUUUUGAGGUCUGCCAUCUGGCAGAUAAAAAUAGGUGGUACCACGUUGAUAACGUCCUAUGA